AGCAUGUGGUUUAAUUCGAAGCAACGCGAAGAACCUUACCAGGGCUUGACAUGCCGCUGACCGGUUUAGAGAUAGAUCUUUACCCUUCGGGGUACAGCGGACACAGGUGGUGCAUGGUUGUCGUCAGCUCGUGUCGUGGGAUGUUGGGUUAAGUCCCGCAACGAGCGCAACCCUUGUCUUUAGUUGCCAUCAUUAAGUUGGGCACUCUAAAGAGACUGCCGAUGACAAAUCGGAGGAAAGUGGGGAUGACGUCAAAUCAUCAUGCCCUUUAUGUCCUGGGCUACACACGUGCUACAAUGGUCGGUACAACGAGAAGCAAGUCAGCGAUGGCAAGCAAAUCUCUAAAAGCCGAUCCCAGUUCGGAUUGCAGGCUGCAACUCGCCUGCAUGAAGUCGGAGUUGCUAGUAAUCGCGGAUCAGCAUGCCGCGGUGAAUACGUUCCCGGGCCUU
rnacentral:rRNA from 2 species